GGCUCCAUAGCUCAGGGUUUAGAGCAGUGGUAUCAGAAUCCAGGGGUCACAGGUUCAACUCUCACUGGGGCCU
rnacentral:tRNA from 1 species